AGGGUCUACAGUAUGGGGUUCUUCAAAAAAGGAUUAGUCGGCAACACGCAUGUAAUAUCUUUGGUGUUGCAGGCGUCCAUAGGCUACGGUGACUGUUUACCAUCAGGCGGGCCGUAUGCUUGUUUGCCACCGACGUGGUAU